rnacentral:rRNA from 1 species
GACAGAGGGUGCAACCGUUGUUCGGAAUUACUGGGCGUAAAGCGCGUGUAGGCGGCUAUGUAAGUCGGGCGUGAAAUCCCACGGCUCAACCGUGGAAGUGCACCCGAAACUGCGUAGCUAGAGUCCUGGAGAGGAAGGUGGAAUGCUUGGUGUAGAGGUGAAAUUCGUAGAUAUCGUUUGGAACACCAAUGGUGAAAACAGGUAACUGGGAGUGUGCCGACGCUGAGACACGAAAGCCAGGGGAGCGAACGGG